UACGAAGGGGGCUAGCGUUGCUCGGAAUCACUGGGCGUAAAGGGUGCGUAGGCGGGUCUUUAAGUCAGGGGUGAAAUCCUGGAGCUCAACUCCAGAACUGCCUUUGAUACUGAGGAUCUUGAGUUCGGGAGAGGUGAGUGGAACUGCGAGUGUAGAGGUGAAAUUCGUAGAUAUUCGCAAGAACACCAGUGGCGAAGGCGACUCACUGGCCCGUUACUGACGCUGAGGCGCGAAAGCGUGGGGAGCAAACAGG
rnacentral:rRNA from 1 species